AACGAACGCUGGCGGCAUGCCUAACACAUGCAAGUCGAACGAAGCCUUUGGGCUUAGUGGCGCACGGGUGCGUAACGCGUGGGAAUUUGCCCUUGGGUUUGGAAUAACAGUUAGAAAUGACUGCUAAUACCGGAUGAUGUUUUUGGACCAAAGAUUUAUUGCCCAAGGAUGAGCCCGCGUAGGAUUAGCUAGUUGGUGAGGUAAAGGCUCACCAAGGCAACGAUCAGUAGCGGGUUUGAGAGGAUGAUUCGCCACACUGGGAAUGAGACACGGCCCAGACUCCUACGGGAGGCAGCAGUGGGGAAUUUUGGACAAUGGGGGAAAGCCUGAUCCAGCAAUGCCGCGUGAGUGAUGAAGGCCUUAGGGUUGUAAAGCUUUUUUACCAGGGAUGAUAAUGACAGUACCUGGAGAAUAAGCUCCGGCUAACUCCGUG
rnacentral:rRNA from 1 species